UUUCAAGGGCAAGGCAACCGUCGCGAGGGAAGCCGAUACUGGCCUGUCUUCAUCUUAGGGCGGUAGGAGCUACGAAGCACUGAUAAUUUGGUUCUUGAACAAGGAAUAGUUUGGAAGAUUACGAUUCUUGCUGUAGAUAAGAAGACAACGCUUCGCAUAGUCCGGAAUGGUGCCGCUUCUGACGACGAUCGCCUCCAUCCUGAGAGCUAGGUACAUUAAAAUUAUGAUAUAACGAAAUUUGGAGGAAUGAAAAAUUGGUGUUGGAACUUGGAACUUGGAAGAUAUAAAUAAAAGACCUAUGGAGAUCCUCUCCUGACCAGUUGGGGAAUAUUAGAAGGCUCAUGAAGAGGCAGAUACCGCAACCGA